ensembl:lncRNA
GGUUCGGUAAAACACCAGGAGUUACACCAACCACCCACACAUUUCCCAGUAUGAAAAACAACAAAUCUUUCCCUGUGUCCUUAUUUCUUCAUCUAAUAUUCUAACCUGCCAGUCCAAGAAUCACACGAGUAGGACUGCAGGACCAGAGGUAUCUACGUACCACACGGAUUGCAACUUGGAUUUCUACAGACUAAGAUUAACAUAAAUCCCUGCUCUAUUCUAAACUGCCAGUCCACUGCAUGCAAACGUGGGACCCCAGUCACCAGAGGUAUCUACGUACCACACGGAUUGCAACUUGGAUUUCUACAGACUAAGAGUCGACCUCAGGGAACUCAAGUGAGCCCCGUCAUUCCUUUUUAAACUCUUCAUGUAUUUACCUAAGUCCCUAAACCUAAAUCCCUACACUAUUCUAAACUGCCAGUCCACUGCAUGCAAACGUGGGACUGCAGUUACCAGAGGUAUCUACGUACCACACGGAUUGCAACUUGGAUUUCUACAGACUAAGAGUAUAUAUAUUUUUACCUAAAUCCCUAAACCUAUGGACACUUAUUCACUUUCCCUAACGUUGAAUUCAGUGUGAGUAUGUGCUUAUACUUUACAUGUGAUCAACAGGAAAUUUUCAAAUUUAGUUUUAAAUUUAGUGGUCUUAUGACGACCUUAUUCAGUCAAUGGACAGAGACGAAUUCUGCAGUUGACAACAAAUCUUUUUAGUAGUAUCCAAUCACAGACAUUUUAUUCAUUUAGAACAAAAGGUUGUCUGCUCACCUGAUUCUGUUUUGGGCCCUUGUUGUCAAUGCUGAACCACGCCGCCGGUCCUUUCAGCUCGGUCCGGAAAACGGACGUCCCCGUCUUUCUUUGUCCAGGUCAGCAAAUCACGUCGGGGUCACCAAAUUGUAAGAAUACGUGUUCAAGAUUUGGAGCCUGGUCGGGGUUAUCAAAAAUUCUGCCGAAUAACUUCUCUCGUUCUGGAAAAUUUAUUUGUCAGAUCACAGGUCAAGUAUCAGCGCUGCGUUUGCAAAGGCAGGAGCAGUUCAGGCAGCACACAGGCCGGAAGAACAACUAACUAACAUCAGCAAGGACAUCAUGUUUUAUAACCCUUGAAAGACAGAGAAGGAAAUAUUUCUAUUGGCCCUAAACUGGCGUAGAGGAGGACCUUCCACCUCCCGCAUCUAAGAUCCGGUCACAUCCAAUGUCCAGACUCCUGACUUAACGUAAACAUCGUAAACAGAGUGUGUAUGUUGAAUAGUGUUGGUGUGUCUCUAACCCCCCUUUGGCUGGUAAAUCUUCUAGUUGACCCGCAGACCUUACAUUCCUCAGCCAGGACAUAAACUGACUCCCCAUCCUGUCAGACUCGUGUCUGCCUGCUUGGCAGAUCCUGCUUCCCCCCUUACUUAACUCUUAAAUCAAGACAAGACAGCAAACCCCCAACUAAGCCCAUGAAAAGAACUUUUGAUUAUCAAGUCACACACAGGAUCUGGAAGACGCACCUCUACCCCUGCUGGAGCAGAGAGGGAUGACACAGAAGAGGAGAGACCACCUGUCAACAACCUGAGUGGCGCCAAAGGGAACCGUGAGCAGUGACCAAACAACCGUCAUCUCGCUGAGAGGAAGGACUUCCUCAGCCCAGAGUCUGCUUGACCACCGUGCAGGACCAGGAGGAAGCAUCAGAACCAGCACCGCAGAGCCGGACCAGAAGCAAGACCAACAUCAUUCUAGGAGACCAGAAGCAAGACUAGGACCGAUUCAGAAAGAGUCCAAGCAACCUUCCGAUCUCCCUUUUGAGAGCCAUCGAUUUCCAGUACAGACACUUCCAAGUUCCCGAUCCCCUCUACAAACACGGCCCCAUGGACAACAACAACAACAACCAUUUAGCACAAGAGAUCCUGAAAUGAUCGAGAAAACACCCUCACACACAAAUGGAGGUGAACCACUGCUGAAAGCGCUUACUGAAGAACCAGCAGAGAACAGUGACAUGGACAACCGCUUCUCAGGUUUAUUGGACUCUUGAUUUAGUAAAUACAAACAAUUGUUUAUUUCUGUGAUAACAGUCUCCAUUAUGGCCAGCAUUCUAUUCCUAGGUGGAUGCUGUUGCAUCCUCUGCAUCAGGACUCUUAUCAUUAGAAUCAUCAGAGAAGACCAGCC